UCUCUGCAGUGUUGUAGUCGGUUGUUGCGUGUGAAGUACACUAGCAGUUAUCGGUUGUUUCGGCAAAAAUCAUCUUGUUGGGGGAACAAAGAUCAUUGAUGAACGAAGAUCAUUGCUAUCACGCAUUGUUUAGCUACGAUCUUUUGCGUUUCGUUUUCUGGGAGCAAUAAUGAGCGUUUAACUGCUGAUGAGUCAAGCUGAGGACGACUUUGGAGCCCUGCUGCCAGAUGUAACAGGUCAACAGCCUGGACAGCAAGGAGAACAGGAGAGCCAAAGCCUGGAGAAGGGUCAAAGCCUGGAGGAGAGUCAAAGCCUCGAGGAAAGUCAAAGUCGAGACAGACACACAGACGGACAGAUAGACAGACAGACAGACAGACAGACAGACAGCAGGUAUCGCGGCCUCAAGGACGGAGGAGAGAAAAAAGGUUAAAUACAAUCAAGAGCUUCUUCCAGGAGGCAUCAAACCAUCUUUUGUUCCCUUGGUUCUUGAACAUUUUGGUCACUGGGGGAUACAAGCCUCCAACUAUCUGAACAAGCUGGCUGAGUCGUCUAGAGAUGAUGAGGAAAAGGAAACAAAGCCCAAUUCAAGAUAAAGUGGAGAUUUCUCAUCUCCAUUCAACUGCAGAGAAACCUUGCUACAGUUAUAGCAGGUUUGCCAGUUGG